GAGGCUAGAAGUCCAAGAUCAAGAUCAGAGUUGUCUUCUGCUUGUGGGAUCUUAGUUCCCCGACCAGGGCUUGAACCCAGGUCCUCUGCAAUGGAAGCAUGGAGUCCUAACCACUGACUGCUAGGGAAGUUCCUAAUACUAACUUCUUAAUAGGCCUGCAAGCCCCGUACGUGCCCAGCUUCAAGACUGAAGAAAGAGCCCUGAGUCAGCAACAGAGACAUCAAUGGUUUCAUGGACGGGGGCGCUUACCUGUCUGAAGUGAGGUUCUGGAGCAACACCCUCCUCUGUGCAGCAGACGGUGAGCAAGACAUGGCGGGACGCUUCACAUCCCGGGAGGCGCGGGAGGUUAGCAGUUAUAGGGAGAAUUAAUUGGAGUCAGGUUGGCUCAUCAGUU